UGCACUGUGACCUGCACACCCAGGUGGGC
rnacentral:piRNA from 2 species